rnacentral:rRNA from 1 species
AGAGGGUGCAAACGUUGCUCGGAUUUACUGGGGCGUAAAGCGCGUGUAGGCGGACUCGCAAGUCGGUUGUGAAAUCCCUGGGGCUCAACCUAGGAACUGCAUCCGAAACUGCUUGUCUUGAGUAAUGGAGAGGGUGGCGGAAUUCCCGGUGUAGAGGUGAAAUUCGUAGAUAUCGGGAGGAACAUCAGUGGCGAAGGCGGCCACCUGGACAUUUACUGACGCUGAGACGCGAAAGCGUGGGGAGCAAACAGGAUUAGAUACCCUGGUAGUCCACGCCGUAAACGAUGAGCAUUAGGUGCAGCGGAUAUUGACCUCUGCUGUGCCGUAGCUAACGCGUUAAAUGCUCCGCCUGGGGAGUACGGCCGCAAGGCUA